CUUCGCCCAGUCUCAGCCUUGGCACUUAGUGGUGCGUUGAGAGGGGCACCGGUGCUGUCCUGGGGUGGGUGGAUGCAGCUCUGCUCCACAGCCUGGCUCCCCCCAGUGUCUGAGUUCCUGCUCUGUGCCUCAGGGCCGCCCUCAGCAUCCUGCCCUCAGCCCUGCCAGAGGCUUCACCCAGGCCCACGCCUGGCGCUAAUGGGCUCAGCCAGCCAGGAGGGCCAUGGGCUCGGCCUGGUGGCUGCCAGGCGUGCACUGAAAGGAGACGCAGGGAGAUCUGCCAUCGGCGUCAGCACUGAUGUAAAGUCACCUGCUUUCAACAGCAACAAGUCAGCUGCUUUCAGUUCCUGCUGUUUGCUGGAAGGGAAGAGGUUGUUUCCUCGGAGAGGAUGGAGGAGGAGGACAGAAGGAGACUUUCAGACAAAAGAGAAAUGAUUAAAAGAGCAAAGGAUUGCUGAGGAUUAGGCAUCUGCUCUGGAUGUGCAGCCCACAGCAGCUCAGUGCACAGGAGGCAGGACAGCUCCUCCAGGAAACACACAUGGGAAGGCCAAAGGACAAAGUUUCAUCAGGACCAAUCUGCAUUUACAGUGGAAUCCUCUAGGAAAGGCUGAAAUCCAGCACGGGCAAAGGUCACCACAGAGCAGCCCCAAGAAGCUGGGGCACAAAGCACACUGCACACAGUGUGCUGCAGUGGGCAGCCUGGCAGAGCAGUUUGAUUUGCUCAAGAAACAAGUACAUUUCCAUGAGCUCAUCAUGAAGGUCGUUGGCUCAAGGGCACAUGAAGCCAGUGGUUAAUGCUGCUGCUGCCUCUCAGGCCUUGAAAAAAUCAUUUGUGUUGCAGUAAAGGCUUUAUUUAGAGCUUAGGAAUCAGGAAAAGCUCAACACAUCUUCACCUCCUUGGAAAAGCCAAGGGCAAAAAAUAAAGAGAUAAACCCAAAGUCUCUUCCUUGUCCUCAGCAAAUCAACUUGCCACACACAGAGUCACAGACUCUGACCAGAGACUUCAUGUUAAAAAGAAACAAGGCCAAGAAAGCAUCUCACUAAUAUUCACCACACUGGAGGACUCACAAAUGAGGAGAGACUGCAACCCCCCAGCUCUCACCCACCCUCUUGCUGCCCCAACAAGCCACAUCAGAACAGGAGGAAGCCAAGCAGUGCUCAGGUCACCUUCCACCCCACAGAGAUUAAAACACAUCCAAUGAGAUCAAAUUCUCGGCCCUGAGCAGCAGCAGAGCCAGGCUGUGCCUCCCACAGCUCUCUCUCACACACACAGAGCCCUUCACAUGCUUCCCACCAGCAACCUCCUCUUUCAUUUCCUGCUUCACCUAUCCAGCACCCUC